GAGUGAAUUGAGAACCUGACCUCAUU
rnacentral:piRNA from 1 species